UUGCUUCCUCAAUCGAGUGGCGAACGGGUGAGUAACGCGUGAGGAACCUGCCUCAAAGAGGGGGACAACAGUUGGAAACGACUGCUAAUACCGCAUAAGCCCACGACCCGGCAUCGGGUUGAGGGAAAAGGAGCAAUCCGCUUUGAGAUGGCCUCGCGUCCGAUUAGCUAGUUGGUGAGGUAACGGCCCACCAAGGCGACGAUCGGUAGCCGGACUGAGAGGUUGAACGGCCACAUUGGGACUGAGACACGGCCCAGACUCCUACGGGAGGCAGCAGUGGGGAAUAUUGCACAAUGGGGGAAUCCCUGAUGCAGCGACGCCGCGUGGAGGAAGAAGGUCUUCGGAUGUAAACUCCUGUUGUUGAGGAAGAUAAUGACGGUACUCAACAAGGAAGUGACGGCUAACUACGUGCCAGCAGCCGCGGUAAAACGUAGGUCACAAGCGUUGUCCGGAAUUACUGGGUGUAAAGGGAGCGCAGCGGGCGAUCAAGUUGGAAGUGAAAUCCAUGGGCUCAACCCAUGAACUGCUUUCAAAACUGAUUGUCUUGAGUAGUGCAGAGGUAGGCGGAAUUCCCGGUGUAGCGGUGGAAUGCGUAGAUAUCGGGAGGAACACCAGUGGCGAAGGCGGCCUACUGGGCACCAACUGACGCUGAGGCUCGAAAGUGUGGGUAGCAAACAGGAUUAGAUACCCUGGUAGUCCACACCGUAAACGAUGAUUACUAGGUGUUGGAGGAUUGACCCCUUCAGUGCCGCAGUUAACACAAUAAGUAAUCCACCUGGGGAGUACGACCGCAAGGUUGAAACUCAAAGGAAUUGACG
rnacentral:rRNA from 1 species